AGCCAUUCCGCGUGAGUGAAGAAGGCCUUCGGGUUGUAAAAGCUCUUUCAGCAGGAACGAAACGGUGGCCACUAAUACUGGCUACUAAUGACGGUACCUGAAGAAGAAGCACCGGCUAACUACGUGCCAGCAGCCGCGGUAAUACGUAGGGUGCGAGCGUUAAUCGGAAUUACUGGGCGUAAAGCGUGCGCAGGCGGUUCCAUAAGACAGAUGUGAAAUCCCCGGGCUUAACCUGGGGAACUGCGUUUGUGACUGUGGGACUCGAGUGUGGCAGAGGGGGGUGGAAUUCCACGUGUAGCAGUGAAAUGCGUAGAGAUGUGGAGGAACACCGAUGGCGAAGGCAGCCCCCUGGGUCAACACUGACGCUCAUGCACGAAAGCGUGGGGAGCAAACAGGAUUAGAUACCCUGGUAGUCCACGCCCUAAACGAUGCGAACUAGGUGUUGGGGAAGGAGACUUUCUUAGUACCGCAGCUAACGCGUGAAGUUCGCCGCCUGGGGAGUACGGUCGCAAGAUUAAAACUCAAAGGAAUUGACGGG
rnacentral:rRNA from 1 species